GGCGUCGCGUGGCUCCCAAGGUCCAGGCGGACAAGCCAUGGUGGAUUGGCUUCCUGCUGCACCUCCGCAUCGUGAGCUCCACCCUACGAGAGUGCAGUAAAUAGGUUCCAUCGCCUAAGCCGUAGCUUGCCGACAGAGCCGGCGAGUCCAUCACGGGAUAUGCCACGACGCUGGUCAUCCUCGCUCGCUGCAGACAUUACCAAACAUGGACGCACUUUGAUUCUCAAAAUACGGACGAGAUACUGGAAUGAAGACCUCUUGAUCCACUCCUUUUUUUUUCUUGAUUGAUCUUUACGCAUACACUUUGAUAAUUUCCUUUAUUGUUAUUAUUCUUCUGAAAUAAUAAUCAUGAGAAGAAAUCUGUUUUUUGCUGUAAAAGAAUCACGUUUAGUUUUGUUCAUUGAUUUUUUCAGCUGGACUUACCUUUCGCAUUGUGCAACUAGUUGAACAAUAAAUAACUCAGUCUAGGCACUAUAUUUAUCUUUAGUCAAUGCAGAAACUUAGCCGACAAGAGAAUCGUCCAUACCUUGCUAGUGUAGCUUAUUUAUCUUCAGCAACUUUAUAUAUGGAGAUGGUUCUUUGAAGAUGCCGCAUCUCAAUAUAUGUAGAGGUACAUACAAUCUUCUACUGUUGUUUUUUUCCAGAGUAGUUCAUUCUGAUAUGGGCUUCCUAAGUAUGGAUGCUUUACAUACAUAAUUUUUUACUCAUACAAAACAUUGUCUUAAAAGUUAGAACUAUUUAUUCAAGCUACUCUUGGUCUGAUUCAUUUCGCUGAUUUCUUAUCCUUUCUCGGCGUUGUUCAAUGGUUAGUGUGAAUUUCCAAUAGUUGCACACAUAAAAUAAACUGAGGACUUUUGGUGCCAAAAUAUAUAGUUCAGCUUACAAUCAUCUUACCUCUAUAUUCAGUUUUUCUAGCAAAGAAGACCGGUGCCUUGCAUGGUGAAAAUAUCCUCUGUUAAGAUAUAUACAUACGUCGAUACAUAUAUCUCUUCUGACAUUCUCGCAUGGUGAUUAGUAGUAGGAAGUAGAAUUCCAAAUUGUUUCUAAAUUUAGAACUUUGUUUUUGCAGGCCCAAAAUUCA